CCUCCUUUCGCCCCCGGAAUCCGACACAGUCUCCCCGCGGAGCCUCCCCGUGCGGCGCCCGAUCGGGACGCGGCGGAACGGAGCUGUCCGUGGUCACCGCUUGGGCGAGGGGAUGGAGCCCCUGUCCCGCGUGCUGGAGCGCAGCCCGGGAGCCGGUAAUGUCCUUGGAUGGACAACGGAUUCAUUCUACUGUCACUCGUGACAGGCAGACGUCAGGCCACCUCCUAUCCGGUGGGCGGGCGACCUCCUUACCAACUCCUGUCCUUGCUGCGCGCUCAGAGACUGGAUACAUUUAUUUACUGAGGGAAAGGGCAGAAAGAGAGGGAGAGAGACUCUCAAGCGGAUUCCCCGGUGAUUGCAGAGGCCUACAUGGGGCUCCAUCCCAAGACCCUGAGACCAUGACCUGAGGCACCCAGGUUCCCUUGUUUUGUUUUGUUUCAAUGAGGUAACCCUACAGGGAGGAGCUUCCCCUUUUACUUUGGGUUCAUCAUUUACAUUGAGGUGAGUUUUUCCUUUGUCUUAGAGUUGGGGACAAACCUACAAGGAACGACUUGGAGCAUUUGCAGGCUUUCUGGCUUUCACUGCUGUAGCCAGUGGGGUCCGGUCCUUCUCCUUGACUCCAAUCUUGUGACUCUUUUCAUGACCUGAUGACUUUUAUAUUAAGGGUUAGCCUUAAACCAAAAUGGCUUUACGUUGGUCAACUUGUCUUCUGGGUGUCCCUCCCUUACCUCUUGCUCAGGUACAGCGGGUCCUACCAAGACCGCCCCGCCCCCCCACCAAACCAUGGCUGCAGAGCUGGUGGCCCUCUGGUCCCUCGGAUGCCAUCUGGCCAAGGAUUAGGGUGUGGCCCCAUGGGGAAAGUGGGGACCUGAUUGGAUACUGGGACCCCAACCCCACAGCCAAGGGUGGGAGCUGGGUUGGGGGCCCCUAAAGGUAUUGGGAGACCAAGUAUACAACCCAUAAGGGUGGGAACCAGCCCCUCCCAGGCAACCCCUACGCCCCCCGCCUCACCAUGCACUCACCGUCUCACUGCCUUCCCCCAGGAGGACCCCAAGGGCAGGUGCACAUGAAGGCGAGACCCUCCCAAAGCCAGACAGGAGCCUGGGAGCGCUCCCUCUUGGAUGGUGCCUGGGCCCCUGCACCCUGACGGAUCUGCUCUCCCCUGCCAGAACCUGUGACCCGGCAGAGCUUCGCACCGCAACCUCACAUCUCCUGAUGGGGUGGCCAUCGAGCACUGGAGCUGGGUCCCUCCUCCCAGACUGGGAUCUCCUGACUCAGUUUCCCCACGGAGCUUCCCCUUGUCCAGAGCUGGGAGAGAGGGGACAGGUCUGAACGGGACGGGAGGGCCUGGGGACUUCACGUGUUGGGAGUCAGUGUGGGAAUGAGGUCUUCAUGGCUCCGUGUCCUUCCUCUAAGAACAGAGACACUCAGCGGUGACGUCACCACAUGCAAGGCAGGGCCCGGCUGCUUUGACUUGUGACCUUUGAUAUACUGAGGCCUGGCCCUGCCCCCUGCACCUCUGGAGCUUGACCAAGUGUUCCCUGCAACCCAUUUCUUACCACACAGUUCUCAGGCUCUCUCCACACAGGAGUCCUGAAGUUUGGGUCCCCUCCAACACCGAGGAAACACUGGGACUGGGACCCAGCGCCGGGCCUGUGAGGUAGGAAAGAUGUUAGGUUUCGAAGCCGACAGCCAAGAAAGAAUUCUUGAGAUGUCUUUGGUGCAAAAAGGUGGUUUUAUUCAAGUACAGGGAACAGGACCCUUGGGCAGAAGGAGCUGAACUGGAGCCAUGAGGAGUGGCCCAUUACAUCCAUGCAAGUUGGUCCGGUGUUAGGGAGAGCGUAUGUCUGGAAGGAAUUCUGGAAGCAAGGUUUCCAGAAUCUAGAGGGUGUAGCUGUUGUUGGGAAAGGUCCCUCAUUACCGUUUUAUAAACCCUGAGUCAUGAAACCCUUCAAAUGUGUAUCAGUGGGCUGGUCGGUCGUAUGCUUGUGGGAUGAAUGCCAACAUGUAUCUUGGGGAAUAGAAAGAAAGGAAGUUUCCAAAGGAAUUUUUAUACCUUAAAGUAGACUUACAGGACCCUGGGGGGUCAGGCUAGGAUUGCCUUCUGCCCUUAGCAUAGUAUCAACAUCAAAGCCGUUGAGUCCCUAGAGGAAUGUCACUCUGCUUGUUUAAGGGACCUGUCAUCGGGCUGUAAGUAGUAAGGAAAUGUAAUGAUUUCUCUUCCGCCUUUGUUUCCCACAUCAGUCCGUUUCUCCCGAAAAUGAGAACACCUUGACCACAGGAGGCCCUGUCCAGUCCAGCCACGCUGGCCCUGUACUCCUCUGGGCGCCCCCAUCAGUCCGACUUCCCCUUCUACGUGGAAGAGAAAAGCCCCUUACUGUCUGAUUUGAGAUGUUUGUACCUCUUGGAUCGGUUUAUUGUCACUCGAGUCAAGUUUCUCCUUAUACCAAAUCCAGAUCUGUUCGCUAUUAGACAGACAUGCAUUUACCUCGGGAACCCACUGCCUCUGGAGAGCUUGGUGCCCCUGGGAGUUGGGACUAUUUAAGAAGCAAAAUUCGGGGCGCCUGGGUGGCUCAGUGGGUUACACAUCUGCCUUCAGCUCAGGUCCUGGG